UGUCAGAGGCAGCAGUACACCAGUGAAAUGAGGAGCACUAUCUCCCUACCAGCACAUUUCCACUGAGUGAGAGAGAGAAUAAGGGAAGGAGAAAUAAGGAGAAAGGUCUGUCUUGAUGAGAUCCAAGGUUGACCUUAACCUCCCUGACAUCAGCAUUUCUGCAGAUUGACAAAAAGAGCGUGAUCAUUUGUGUACAGCUGCAACCUCAACACCAGCUUUGUCAUCACUGUGAACCUCAGUAAAGACAGCCCAACCAUGGAUCAGAAAAUCAAUGAAUGCCCCACCAUCACCUCCCCCCAGAAACAGAUGAAGAGCAGGUCCAAAUCCACCGAUGAGAUCCAGCACACCAAGAGGCUUUCAUCACAGAAAUCCCUUCCCGGUGGGCCUGACCUGGACAAAGUCAAGGAAGGCCCAGAAUGUUCUGAGACUCCCUCGUCCUCCACAGAGGAGCUGAAGUGAUGACGGCUGGGGUCCCUAAGGGAAAUAAUGAACCUUCCAUCUGCUCAUUAAACAUGAACAAAAACUGUACACACACAUAGACUCACAUACACACACACACACAGUCACAUACCUACACACACUGAAAAAUGCAAACACUGAAUUGAUAAACUGAGUUGGUGGAAAGUCAUUUGAUCAGUCAGAGAGAAACACACACCAACAAGAUCUCACGAUUUAACCAAUUUGACUUCAGAUUCUGACGUUUAUCCACGUUUCUCCAAGCAUAACAUUUAGACUCUGCGCCAAACGUCAAAUUUCUAAGUGUUUUUGACACCAUGUGUUGACUCCUGUUCAGCAUCAAAUUUAAGGUAAGGGUUAACAUUUUGGAUAGGGUGAAGAUAUUAAGGUAAGACAUUAAUUCUGAAUGGUUAAGUUAAGGGUUAGGGUUUGGGAUAGGUUUAAAACAAAACAUUUAAAAUGUGUUUCUACCACUGGGAGAUAACAUGUAGCAUUCGGAUUCAGGGUCAUGGGAUUAUGUCCAUUAUGUCUCAUGGGAUUAUGUCCGCACCGCUGUAGCAAAACCCAAGCCUACUUGUUAGUAAUAGUGCUAAUUUUGAAGUCAAUCUGCAUCGAUCUGCCUACACACACACACACACACACACACAAUGACAACAAGAACACAAGAAAUGGGCACAUGUGGUGAUGCUGUAUCAUUGUACUGUGAGUUAUCUGUACAUACCAAACUGAAUGUGCAUUCUUCACAAUAAAGCAGUGCUGUUGAGUGGACCCA